rnacentral:rRNA from 1 species
UACAGAGGUCUCAAGCGUUGUUCGGAUUCAUUGGGCGUAAAGGGUGCGUAGGCGGCGCGGUAAGUCGGGUGUGAAAUCUCGGGGCUUAACUCCGAAACUGCAUUCGAUACUGCCGUGCUUGAGGACUGGAGAGGAGACUGGAAUUUACGGUGUAGCGGUGAAAUGCGUGGAUAUCGUAAGGAAGACCAGUGGCGAAGGCGGGUCUCUGGACAGUUCCUGACGCUGAGGCACGAAGGCCAGGGGAGCAAACGGG